rnacentral:lncRNA from 1 species
AAAACAGGCUGACCUCAGUCCCCUAAAUUGUUCCCCUGGUCUUUCUUCCACAGUGCUUGGUAAUCCUUCAUAGCCGACUCCUUUGUUCUUUGCAUCUGGACAGGGCUUCACUUUGUGAGAGUCUCCUAUUUCGAAAUAAGGAGACAGGGUAAAUCCUCCAGUCUUACCAGCUCUCCUGAGGCAGCUCUGGAGUUUCUGGAGACAUCACGUUCCCUGCUUAUUCCUGGAGAAACCUCAAUUCCAGUGUUCAGAGAGGACCUGAGCUUCAGAGAUUCAAGCUGGAAAACGGCUUCGUUCCCUGCUGCCUGGCACGACCUCAGGGGAUAUUUCUAGUGGUAGGAUUAAAGAUGGAUGCAGCCUGCUGGCCUCCUUCAACAUUGCCAUAUACCUACAGACACCCUGAGGAUGUACACCUCUACACUGAGAAGCAUGGGCUCCUGCAACCUGCUUGUCGGGGCUUUCAUUUAGCUCUCUCGACAAAUGUUUGCAGAAUUUAAGCUUGAUUACUGGAAAAUGGUGGGAAGCCCACACUCUCAUGGGUAGCCCUUCCUUUGCUGGCUAAUAGUAUUUGUUGGACAAUUUUAUUCCAUAAUAACAAAAUCUGCAUCCAGCUUAAUUCCAGCUCUGCCCUGGAGCAACUGAGAACAAAUCUGCCUUCUCUUCCCAUAUGACAGCUCUUCAAAUAUUUUAAACCCAUGCUCACGUCCCUGAAGAGUCUUUGCUUCCCUAGGCUAAGUAUUUCCUGUCCUUUCAAUUCCUAUAGUCAUACUUUGAGUGACACAGGAUCCAAAUUACUUGUUAGGAUUGUGCAGUAGUGAAUUUUUGAAAAAAAUAGGUGCUGAAUCCAGAGAGACCUGAAUUUGAAUCACCUUCAUCCAGUGGGGCCGACUGAAAGGAG